GGAAGGCAGCAGGCACGCAAAUUACCCAAUCCCCGAUCGGGGAGGUAGUGACGAAAAAUACCGAUGCCGGACUCUUCGAGACCCGGUCGUCGGAAUGAGUACGCUCUAAAACCUCUAACGAGGACCUACUGGAGGGCAAGACUAAUGCCAGCCGCUGCGGUAAUUUUAGCUCCAGUGGCGUAUACUAAAUUUGUUGCAGUUAAAAAGCUCGUAGUUGGACACCUGCUCUGGACGUAGGGGGCCCCUUGCGGGGUCCACCAUGCGCACCCGGCAUUCUGCCCACCGCCUCGGGGUCGAUUUUAAUCGGUCGGCCUCGGGUGGAUGGCGGUCGUCGCUUUGCAAAAAUUAGAGUGCUCAAAGCGGGCUGACAAGGCUCGAAUAGUAAUGCACGGAACGAUGGAACAUGACCUCGGCUCCUGGUUUGUUGGCGUAGAGGGACGCCGAGGUGAUGAUUAAUAGGAGCUGACGGGGGCAUUCGUAUUCCGACGCUAGAGGUGAAAUUCUUGGACCGUCGGAAGACGACCCACUGCGAAAGCAUUUGCCAAGAAUGCUUCCUUUAACCAAGAACGAAAGUCAGAGGCUCAAAGAAGAUUAGAUACCUUUGUAGUUUCGACCCUAAACGAUACCCGCCAGCGAUCCGGCUGCGUACGAUCGUGACGCGCCGGGCAGCUUGCCCGGGAAACCUGAGUUCAGGCUCC
rnacentral:rRNA from 2 species